GGGCCUGCUCGGUGAUGAAUGUAUUUAACAGCUGCGGUAUUUUAACUGUACUAAGGUAGCAUAAUAAUUUGCCUUAUAAAUUAGGGCUAGAAUGAAUGGUUUGACGAAAGUUGGUCUGUCUCUUAAUUAUUUUUUAAAAAUUAAUUUUUAAAGUGAAAAAGCUUAAAUUAUUUAAAGGGACGAGAAGACCCUAUUGAGCUUUAUAUUGAUUAUUUAUAUAUGUGUAUAUUUAUAUAAUUUUUAGAUGAUUUGAUUGGGGUGAUCAAGGAAUAAGUAUUAUAUUUUAACUUCCUUAAAGUAGUUUUAUUAAUAUAUAAAUUAACCAAUUUUAUUGCUUUUAUGAGUAAGUUACCAUAGGGAUAACAGCGUAAUUUUUUUAGAGAGUUCUUAUUGAAAAAAAAGAUUGCGACCUCGAUGUUGGAUUAAAAUAACCUUAAGGUGUAGAAGCUUUAAUUGGUAAAUCUGUUCGAUUUUUAAAAUUUUACAUGAUCAGAGUUCAGACCNGG
rnacentral:rRNA from 1 species